AUCUUGUUUAAAAUGCAGAUUUUGAUUCUGGAGGUCUGGGGUGGGCGCAAGAUUCUGCAUUUCUAACAAGCUC
rnacentral:miRNA from 10 species